rnacentral:rRNA from 1 species
UGUACAUACAGUCAUAGUGAUGGACGGAGCCUUCGGGUACUGGAUGUGUAAUUGACUGCAUGACGCGAAAGGUGUUUAUGUUAGUAUUCGGCGGCAGCGUCAGAGGGGUAUAAGAGAGGGGUGUAGAGGCGGAAGGGAGGUUGACUGCGGGGCCAACACGUCGAGGAGGGACGAAAGUCGGGCUUAGUGAGCCGGUGGUGCCGCAUGGACGGGCCUUCGCUCCACGGAUAAAAGCUGCCCGGGGGAUACCGGGCUUAUCUGCCCCCAGAGUCCUCAUCGGCGGGGAGGUUUGGCACCUCGAUGUCGGCUCGUCGCAUCCUGGGGCUGUAGUCGGUCCCA